rnacentral:rRNA from 1 species
UACGUAGGGUGCAAGCGUUGUCCGGAAUCACUGGGCGUAAAGCGCGCGCAGGCGGUCAUCUACGUCUGGGGUGAAAGCCCGGAGCUCAACUCCGGGACUGCCUUGGAUACGGGAUGACUUGAGGAUCGGAGAGGCAAGGGGAAUUCCACGUGUAGCGGUGAAAUGCGCAGAUAUCAGGAGGAACACCAGUGGCGAAGGCGGCUCACUGGCUCGAUACUGACGCUGAGGUGCGAAAGCGUGGGGAGCAAACAGG